GGUUUAGAAAACAGUAUAAAUAGUGCCCCCCAUCUCCCAAAGUUAUUCAUUGUUCCACUUGGGAUCCUUGUUGCUCUUAGCUUCAACAUCUCCAGAAGAUCAUUGUUCCACUUGAGUUCCUUGUUGCUCUUCGCUUCAACCUCUCCAGAAGAAAUGGGCAGUUGUGAAUCUUGCUGUGGCGGUGCCGAAGACAGCACCAUCAUUUGUGUGCCCAACUCGCGUUCCAAUGGCGGCUGCCAACCGUGUGGCGGCUGCCAACCGUGUUGCUGCUGCUCGCCGUGUUGCUGCUGCCAGCCAUGUUGCUACUGCCAACCAUGUUGCAACUCCUGCUGUACUCCCCAGUGCAGUGCCCAGUGCUGCAGUACCCAGUGCAAGCAGUGCUAGUGAGGCUGACCCGGCCCAAGGGAUGAUUUUGUGUUGCUGAGUGGUGACAAAAAAUUAUAUGAUGCCUUCUCAGGUGCAGCCGCCACCACCCCCAUUGCCACUCCAGGUGUGGCUAUUCCUCCCCGUGUUUCCAUACUGAUUGCAGACACUCUCCCCUGUUUCCAUCUCAUGUGUAGCCCCUCUCCCCUUUUUCCAUCUUGGAAGCAGCCACUCUCCCCUUUUUCCAUCCCAGAUGCAGGCACUCCCCCAUUUCCAUCCCAUGUGUAGCCCCUCUCCCUCUGCUUCCAUCCUGGAUGCAGCCACUCCCCCCCCCAUUUCCAUCCCAUGCAUGGCCACUCCAUCCUAUUUCCAUCCUGGAUACAGCCCCUCCUUCCUGCUUCUGUCCCAAGUGCAGCCCCUCCCCCUACUUCAAUCCCAGCUGCAGACACUUUCACUGGUACUGGGUGUGGCCACAUGCCCCUUCUGCCAUUCUUCAUUUUGUCCUCCUAGAUGUAACCAUUCCCCCAUUGCCAUCCAAGAUGUGGAUACUCACUCUCCCCCAUUUCCAUCCUGGGUACAGCCACUCCCCUUCAACUUUUUCAUCCCAAAUGUGCCAGCUCCCCCCCCGAUGCUGGGCAGCUAUUCUCCAUCUCCUGCAGCCAGUCUCUCCUGUCCUCCUCUUCUGUAACAGCUGUCCUUCCCGCUGUCACCAUUCCAAAUCUGGUUACUCCCCAUCCUGUUGGUCCCAUUGCACUACCUGCUCCCACUUCUCCAAGUCCUGCUUCUCCUUGUGCUGCAGCUCCAAACGCAGGAAUCUUCUUCAGGCAACAUGCCAGUUUCAGCAGAAGGUAACAUGGAGUGGAAGAAUUCAGAUCUGCCACCGGCCAGACCAUAAACACUGGAAUCAUAACCAACAGCUAUCUUUCCGUGGAAACAAGAAGACCUGCCAGUUCACUUCCAGGUGUCCCUUUUGCUAAGUUGGAUGCUUAAAGCUUUGCAGCUGAUUCUAUAUUAAAUUACAGAUCCUCCCUCCCUCCUCUUCAGUCACAGGAACAAAAAGACUUUAUGCGACCUAUCAGCUUCUGUUUUGUCUCAGUCUGCUAUUAGAAACACGCAACACAAUAAAAUAUUGAAACGAAGAAA